CCUAAGAGAUACGCGUUAUGUGCAGUGCUCACACAGAUUGUCUGAUGAAGAACGAGCAAAAGCGCGUCUGCGAAGCUGACAAAAGUCCCCUUCGUCUAGAGGCCUAGGACACCGCCCUUUCACGGCGGUAACAGGGGUUCGAAUCCCCUAGGGGACGCCAAUGCGCGGUAUGAGUGAAAGGUGUACCACUUAUCUGACGAGAGUCAGAGAAUAACUAAGCUAAUUCAAACGAGUUAUCUUACUUAUUAUGCUCUUUAACAAUCUGGAACAAGCUGAAAAAUUGAAAACAAAUCAAUAUAUCACCGAGGUAUAUUGGUGAGUCUCUCAAAAUCUCAAACCUUAAAGUUUGUCACGCAAAGUUUAUCUUUGAAAAAGACACUUUCGGGUUGUGA
rnacentral:misc_RNA from 1 species